UUGGGGUUAAUGGGUAUAAUGGGGGAGGGGAAAACGAGGGGCACUGGGGGGUGGAACGGACGAGGCAGGAGGAAACAAGGCCAGCUGAGAGAGGGAAAGGGGGCAGUGCGGAGUGGCAGGGAAGGAAGGCAAAGAGAGUUCGUGAUUAUUGUAACACCUGCUAUCCCCCUGCCUCCUUAGUCCCGGUGCAGGCGAGGGAUACAUUUUUCCUUAGGGCCGUGGGGACCAGAGGGUGGGAAUCUCGAGGCAAGCUUGGUCUCUAGGUAGAGCAAGGGGAUUGUUCUUACCGUCUAAGCAGCAGCAAGCGUGUGCUGGAAGGUGCCAAAGGGGCUAAUAAGCAUCAUUCCCACCUCAAAAUGUUUUUGUGAGGAGAACAUGAAAUAUGAGAGGACACCUCUAAUGGAGAUGCAUGGACAUGGGUUCUGGGGCUACAAGAAGCCUGUGUACAAUCUCCCCUAUCCAGGAAUGGUUAUUGACUGCCUGGAGCUGAAGCACAGAUGACACAUGAAUGUUAUUUACAUAUAGUUUCCUGAGUGUGCCAGAGGAUAAAGACACAGAAAGAAGAUUUCUUCCAAGCCCAAGGGAUGGCAGCAGCCAGUAGAGUGGUGGAGUAGCAAGAUUCUGAUAGGAAAAAGCAGAUUCUUCAGAUGGGGACACAGACACAUGGCAGUUUUGUUACUUUUGUAUUAAAUUUAUAUACAUUGAAAAAGCAAACUGUGUAAUGGAAAAAGUCUCUUCUGUUCUUUGAAUAU